AAUGCACAUCCGAAUUUAGGAAGGUAAAAUUAUUAAAGAACGUGUCUAAAGCGACUAGCGUGUCAUUUAAUUUUGUGGGAAGCCAUGAAUUCACUAAAUGUCACGUCCCAUAUUCUAAACAUUUUUUAAAAGGAGUAAUUAAAGAGGGACACGCAAUUUAUAAUUUUUAUUUGGCGCGGCGCACCUUAUUUUAUUUUUAAGGUCAUCCUAAAGAAUUAUAAUUUUUCUAUCAAAUAUUGUCUCUAAAAGAAGCCCUAAUUUAUUAGUAUUGCUAGUGAACCAUUACUAAAAUAUUCAGAUAAAUUCGGGCCCCAAGGUCAAGUCCAAAUCCAAAUUAUCUUGGAAGGCCUAAAUUUGGGCCUAAAAAUCGGCCCAGGUGGGAGGCAGUUCGAUCAUGUAGUUGGACAGAUCAUUUUUGAGUUUAGGCUCUAAUUGAGCAAAAUUCAAAGUGAGGAAACGUGAUCAGGGAUAUGAACUCUUCAGCUGGGCCUACAUUAGGCCCAUUCUUAUAGUCCAAAUAACACGAGCCCAAGCUAAACCAAUCUCAACAUGGAAAGAAAAUAGAGGACCUGAUGAUCUUAUUUCAAACGGGAUCUGAUAUCAAUUAAACUGAUUCAUGUUGGACCGGGUAUCCUUCAGUUGCUUUGGGAUUCAAAUCUUCAUCUUGUUUGUUUCAUAAUGAAUUAGCAAAUGAAUCUAACAGUCUCACAAUGUCGAUCAUAAAACAAAUUAAUCCAGGACUCGGAAUUGAUAUUAAUUAUUUCUCAUGGUAACUACCUCUGUUGAGAUCACAUUCUAGGCUUGAACUUCAUGACGCAACAAUCAGAACCGGCCAUUUUUUGAUCUAGCUUUAAUGACAGGAUGUCUAAGUAAUGAUAAUCAGUCCAGCAAUUAAGGGUUAGAACAGUCCUAAUUAUAGAAACAAUUACAGACAUUUGGACUAUGUGAGGUUAAUGCAGAUAAACAACUUGCACUUCAUUACUUCUUCAAAUUCGUUUGUACAUCUAGCUCAAAUCUCACGUAUCAUUCUACGCAGAGACAUGUACCUGGAGAUUGGAACACAGUAAGAAGAAAGAGAAAUAAACAGCAGGAAAUGCAUGUAACAGCAGCAACAAUUUAAAAUCCAAACCAACACCAUAAAGCCCAGGAAAUGACAGCGAAUAACAAAUAAGCUUGAUUAAAACCCAAAUAGACUCGAAAAUAGAUCCCAGGUAUCUCUGAACCUUCAGCAAUCACACACAAGGAUUUCUCAAGUCAUUUUCCUUUUUUUUUUGUUGAAUAAACAGAUUUUCUAUUCCAUUCCGUCAAAAAAUUGUACAUCCAAACAGAGAUGCUGACCAUCUAUACUCACAUGCUAUACAGUCACUACACCUAUUAUCAAUCUAAUAAGAUUUGCAAUAUCACUAUUUGAUAGUAAAUGUGACAAUUCUGUCCAAAAGCAGCCUAGGGGUAAUGGUUUAAGCUUAGUAAAACGACCUUUCAUUUAUGAAUUGAAGCUCCUCUUGAGUGGAAAUGGACUGCUAUUUCCUUACCGACAGAAUCGCUCAACAUAUUCCCUCAUUGGAAUCUCAUUUUAUUGCGCUCUCUCCAUAUCACUGUCACCAGGACCCCAAACAGACAGGCAGUGAUUUCUGCUACACCAGUUCUACUCCUUGCCACAUUACUUACCCAGUCACAUUCCUUCUUCCAGUCAGAAAUUGGUCGUUUAUAACCUAACCAGUUUAGGAGCCGACUCCAAAUUGCUUUAGUCUUCAAACAGUCAAAGUACAGAUGAUCAAAAGUCUCACGAGACAUUCCAUAGAAAAUACAUUCCUGUGGAAUCAGGAAAUUGAGUUCCUGGAGUCUGUCCACAGUUGCCAAUCUCUUACGCAGAGCCAACCACAAAAUAAAUUUAUACCUGGGGUGUAAUUGAGCUUGCAGUAUGAUGGUCUUCCAUUGGACUUUAAGGUAUUGAGGGUGUUGGAGUCUGUAUAACUUCUUGGUUCUAAAUAAAUCACCCCUCUGAAGUUGUAGCAGUCGACUGUCCAGAUUUCCGUGAAGAGUUGCAAUUCCAUUUAUCAACUCUCUCGACUCAAAGAUUUUUGUUAUUGCCCAAGCAGCAGAUCCAGGCACCGGCAUGUCAUCAAUACAGUAAUUUUUAAUAUAAAAAGUAUGCACCCAUUUUAUCCACAGACUAUCCUUCUUCUUGGUCAGUGCCUAUAGGUGCUUUGCAACAUCAUACUUAUUCCACUUGAUCAGGUUCAACACAUUUAAUCCCCCUGCACUGUAUGGCAUACAGAGUGUUUCCCAGGCAAUCAGAGCUUUCCUUGACACUGUAGCUGAACUUGUCCAGAGAUAUGAUCAGCAUAUUGCUUCAGUCAUCCUCAUAACUUUUUUAGGCAGUAGAAAUAUUGGGGACCAAUAGGCUUGUACACCAAACAAUACUGAUUUUAUCAGCUGAAGUCGACCAGCAUAGGAGAGUAGCCUUGAUGACCAACAACUUAUUUUCUGUGUGAUUUUCUCAACUAAUGGCCAACAUUGAGCAAUGAUCAGUUUCUUUGAAUCCAGAGGCAUCCCCAGAUAUUUAAAUGGAAGCCUGCCUUCAGGAAAACCCGAAGCCUGUAAGAUCUCCUCAUUCUGCCAGUUUGUUACACCUGCUAUGUGCACAACACUUUUAUCACCAUUUGCUUGAAGUCCAGAAGCUUUGGAGAAGUUCUGGAAAGCCUGCUUCAGUAAGAUUACAGACUGAAUGUAUGCCAAUGUCUGCUUUACAGAACAUAAGAAGAUCAUCCGCGAAGAAAACAUGUGCUACACCCAGCUUCUUACAUCUAGGAUGGAAUUGAACUCUUUCCUCAUCAUCAUUUGCAUAAAUUCUCUUUGUAGAUACUCCAUGGCCAGAACACACCCAACUUCUUACAUCUAGGAUGGAAUUUGAACUAUUUCCUCAUCAUCAUUUGCACAAAUUCUCUUUGUAGAUACUCCAUGACCAGAACAAAGAGGUAUGGAGACAUAGGGUCGCCUUGACUUAUGCCUCUUCUUCCUUUAAAUGGAGCAGUGAGUCCACCAUUGAUGUUGAGAGAGUAGGUGACAGAGGAUAUGCACUCCAUUACCCACCCUAUGAAUUUAUAAGGAAAGCCCAAGUCCUGCAUCAGUCUUUGUAGGAAGCACCACUCAACUGUAUCAUAAGCUUUCUUUAAAUCUACUUUAAGAAAACAUCUAGGUGAAAUUCCCUUCUGGAGUAGCCUUCGAACAGUUCUUGCGUAAAUAGAAUGUUAUCUGUGAUGCUACAACCCUCAAUGAAUGAUGACUGUGAUCUUCCAACCAGAUAGUAAAUAACUGCUUUCAACCUAGCUAUAAGGAUCUUAGUGAUGGUUUUGUACAGAGUUGUACAACAUGUAAUGGGUCUAUAAUCCUUCACUUUGCUUGGAUUUUGCACUUUAGAAAUUAGUGUUAGUGCAGUGCUGCUAACUCCUUUAUGCAACUUCCUAGUGAGAAAGAAUUCCCUCACAGCUUCACAUAUGUCUUCCCCCACUACAUGCCAAUGCCUUAUAGAAAUUCAAUAGAAAUUCAAAUCAAUUGCUAGAAUUUGAAACUAAUCUAAGAGAAACUUCAAUAGAACAAUUUUUUUGGGAGUUUUCUAUUACUAUUUUUUUGGUUUUUGAAGAUUCAAAAUCUAGAAGGAACUCUCAACUCUCAGAUUUCAGUUUUAUUUGUGAAUUUUUGAAAUUCAAAUUUAAGAUCUCUCAAACUUGUGAAACAAGACAGUAGAGAUUGCCUUUUAUAGGCAAAAGUUGAGGGUUUUCUCAGAUUUCGGUUUUACACCUUAGUCCCUCUUUUAUUUUCAAUUUUUAGCUAGUUAGACCCUUAUUUACUGACUUGUUUCUCAAGUUACUGCACUAAGUUACUAAAAUUCUAAUUAGAACCCCAUCUAGAAUAUUCUAGGGGCUUCCAAUUCAGUUAUUAAAAUAUUCUCUAUUUUGAAUUGCCCCAACUCCCCUUGAACUAAGUCUGAAAUUAACCAAGGUCGACUAACCAGGGCUGGCAUCAUUCAGCUAUAACCAAACAACUCCUAAAAUUGAAUUAAUAAAUCCAACUAAUCUAAUUAGGGUUGAAAAUUAAUUCUAAUCAACAUUAUGUCCUAAAACUAAUUAAACAAUGAACUAACCAAAAUAUUGAAUAAACAAAAUGGUUAUUCCAACGGGAAACUUGUACGAUGAAAAUGGAAAACAUGAAUAAUCUAGAAAAUCAACAGCAAACCAGAAAUCAAUCAAAACAAAAUUAAAGCUAAAACCUAAAUAAAAUCAGUAGCAAACAUGACUCAUAUCAUUGAAAUCAGACACAAAAUCAAACAAAGCAAAACAGAAUAGAAAUUAAAGCAAAAUAGAAACAAAAACAUACUCAAAGGAGCGAGAAUCAAUUAAAAUCCUAAGAAACCUAAAUCAAUCAACAAGGAGAACAAUUAAUCAGGGAAUAAUAUGACACAGAAAAUCAAAUGAAAAAAAAACUUACCGAUUUCGAUCUAACUUCGAAUUUAAAAACUCAAACGAUGUUAUUAGCCUAUCUUAAGGUCAAACGAACACUUGAAAAUCUGAGCCAAGCCGAAAUUCCUCCAGACCUCGAAUUUGAAUCCUAACCCCGAGAUAUGAAUGGUUUUGGCUGGAUUCGAAAGGAGUUUGUUUGAGAUAUGGGAAGAUGAGUUCAAGGUGAGUCUAAGGUAUAAAUUUGGUUGUGUUUGGAUGCUGGCGUCGCCACCGGACACUAAAGGCGACGGUUAGGGUUAGGGUAUUUGGGAGUGUUUUAGUGGGUUUUGAGAAGAAAUAAUAGUGGAUCAACGAUGGGGAGAUAAAGAUGAAGCCCUGGUGUGAAUUUGGAUGCCAUCUGACGAGAUAGUGUUUUGGGAUCGAGACUUUGAUUUAAAAUUCGACGAAUUUGAGAGAAAUUAAGGGUGGAUUUAGAAAGGGGGGAGGGGGUAAAGAAGGGUUUACAGUGUAAUUUUGGAAGAAAUCGGAGGAUCACUGCCACCGUGGGGCGAUUUCCAGCUGCGAUUUAGGCGGAGCCGGCUGAGGAUGGUGGAGCGUCUUUCAAGAGAGUGGGGUGAGAGAGAGAGACUUUAGGGGGGUGUUGGGUAGGUCUC
rnacentral:lncRNA from 1 species